rnacentral:lncRNA from 1 species
UUUCAAGUACUUGGUGUCCAAGCUUCUAGUUGUUCAAAAACCUGUCAGCUUGCAAGAGGAUGUUAGAUAGACGUGAUCUGCAAGUUUGAAUUCAAAGUCCUUAUCUAUUUUGGAUGAGAGUCCUAGUUGCCUGGACUUAGUUUAAUUGUUUUGUGAUAUGAUUAUCUUUUUGAUUUUCAAAUGUAUAGAUUGAUUCCCAUGUAAAUAGAGAUUUUCAUGUAAUCGGUUGUAACUGUUAACCUUGAAAUAUCAAUAUAAGUACAGCUACACCAUUAUGUUGAUGGUAUGCAAAGCUCACCACUCUUCUCUUGAGCAUACUAUUGUUU